CCAGAUCUGUUUCUGCUCUUGCUAACUCCAUUGUUCAUUGUCAAGCCAAACAUGACAAUUCCAUAAGGAGUUGGCAGGAGAGUAGAACCACCCUGGUACCAGACUAGAAGACCAGGUCUGCAUUGGUCAGACUAGAACCACCCUGGCACCAGGCUAGAAGACCAGGUCUGUAUUGGUCAGACUAGAACCACCCUGGCACCAGGCUAGAAGACCAGGUCUGUAUUGGUCAGACUAGAACCACCCUGGUACCAGGCUAGAAGACCAGGUAUGUAUUGGUCAGACUAGAACCACCCUGGCACCAGGCUAGAAGACCAGGUCUGUAUUGGUCAGACUAGAACCACCCUGGUACCAGACUAGAAGACCAGGUCUGUAUUGGUCAGACUAGAACCACCCUGGCACCAGGCUAGAAGACCAGGUCUGUAUUGGUCAGACUAGAACCACCCUGGUACCAGGCUAGAAGACCAGGUAUGUAUUGGUCAGACUAGAACCACCCUGGCACCAGGCUAGAAGACCAGGUCUGUAUUGGUCAGACUAGAACCACCCUGGCACCAGGCUAGAAGACCAGGUCUGUAUUGGUCAGACUAGAACCACCCUGGUACCAGACUAGAAGACCAGGUCUGUAUUGGUCAGACUAGAACCAUCCUAGAAGACCAGUUCUGUAUUGGUCAGACUAGAACCAUCCUAGAAGACCAGGUCUUUAUUGGUCAGACUAGAACUACCCUGGUACCAGACUAGAAGACCAGGUCUUUAUUGGUCAGACUAGAACCACCCUGGUACCAGACUAGAAGACCAGGUCUGUAUUGGCCAGACUAGAACCACCCUGGCACCAGGCUAGAAGACCAGGUCUGUAUUGGUCAGACUAGAACCACCCUGGCACCAGACUAGAAGACCAGGUCUGUAUUGGUCAGACUAGAACCACCCUGGCACCAGGCUAGAAGACCAGGUCUGUAUUGGUCAGACUUUUCAAACAUUUCCCAAGGCAUUAACUUGAUUUACACAGUUAAAAACCAAGUUGUUUAUUUACAAAGCUCUAUUUUGAAUGUUGUAUGAUCUCUGUGUUAUUGAGUAGAUUUGAUACGUAUGACUGACUCUGUGUCACCAUCAAACUGUAUUUUACUGUGCGUCUCUUAGCCAAUCAAACAUCCUAUUGACAUAACAAUCAACUUCAUUUAUGUCACAAUCGUUACUGUAUGUCACAAUCUAGCUCUUUACAAAUAAAUGUGUUUUCUUCUGUU